rnacentral:rRNA from 1 species
AAUAGUGAAAGGCGGCUUUGCUGUCACUUAUAGAUGGAUCCGCGCCGUAUUAGCUAGUUGGUAAGGUAACGGCUUACCAAGGCAACGAUACGUAGCCGACCUGAGAGGGUGAUCGGCCACACUGGAACUGAGACACGGUCCAGACUCCUACGGGAGGCAGCAGUAGGGAAUCUUCCGCAAUGGGCGAAAGCCUGACGGAGCAACGCCGCGUGAGUGAUGAAGGUCUUCGGAUCGUAAAACUCUGUUAUCAGGGAAGAACAAAUGUGUAAGUAACUGUGCACAUCUUGACGGUACCUGAUCAGAAAGCCACGGCUAACUACGUGCCAGCAGCCGCGGUAAUACGUAGGUGGCAAGCGUUAUCCGGAAUUAUUGGGCGUAAAGCGCGCGUAGGCGGUUUUUUAAGUCUGAUGUGAAAGCCCACGGCUCAACCGUGGAGGGUCAUUGGAAACUGGAAAACUUGAGUGCAGAAGAGGAAAGUGGAAUUCCAUGUGUAGCGGUG